GACGAACGCUGGCGGCGUGCUUAACACAUGCAAGUCGAGCGGUAAGGCCCUUUCGGGGGUACACGAGCGGCGAACGGGUGAGUAACACGUGGGUGACCUGCCCUCAGCUCUGGGAUAAGCCUGGGAAACCGGGUCUAAUACCGGAUAUGACUCCAUGACGCAUGUUGUGGGGUGGAAAGCCUUGUGCGGCUGAGGAUGGGCCCGCGGCCUAUCAGCUUGUUGGUGGGGUGAUGGCCCACCAAGGCGACGACGGGUAGCCGGCCUGAGAGGGCGACCGGCCACACUGGGACUGAGACACGGCCCAGACUCCUACGGGAGGCAGCAGUGGGGAAUCUUGCGCAAUGGGCGAAAGCCUGACGCAGCGACGCCGCGUGAGGGAUGACGGCCU
rnacentral:rRNA from 1 species